rnacentral:rRNA from 1 species
AUACGGAGGACGCGAGCGUUAUCCGGAUUCAUUGGGUUUAAAGGGUGCGCAGGCGGCCGUGCAAGUCAGCGGUGAAAGCCCGGGGCUCAACCCCGGAAGUGCCGUUGAUACUGCGUGGCUGGAAUGCGGUCGAGGCGGGCGGAACGGGGCGUGUAGCGGUGAAAUGCGUAGAUAUGCCACAGAACGCCGAUAGCGGAGGCAGCUCGCCAGGCCUGCAUUGACGCUCGGGCACGAAAGCGUGGGGAUCGAACAGGAUUAGAUACCCUGGUAGUCCACGCCGUAAACGAUGGGCGCUCGUCGUCGGCGACAGACAGUCGGCGGCCAAGCGAAAGCGAUAAGCGCCCCACCUGGGGAGUACGGUCGCAAGGCUGAAACUCAAAUGAAUUGACGGGG